GACGAACGCUGGCGGCGUGCUUAACACAUGCAAGUCGAACGGAAAGGCCCUGCUUUUGUGGGGUGCUCGAGUGGCGAACGGGUGAGUAACACGUGAGUAACCUGCCCUUGACUUUGGGAUAACUUCAGGAAACUGGGGCUAAUACCGGAUAGGAGCUCCUGCUGCAUGGUGGGGGUUGGAAAGUUUCGGCGGUUGGGGAUGGACUCGCGGCUUAUCAGCUUGUUGGUGGGGUAGUGGCUUACCAAGGCUUUGACGGGUAGCCGGCCUGAGAGGGUGACCGGCCACAUUGGGACUGAGAUACGGCCCAGACUCCUACGGGAGGCAGCAGUGGGGAAUAUUGCACAAUGGGCGGAAGCCUGAUGCAGCAACGCCGCGUGCGGGAUGACGGCCUUCGGGUUGUAAACCGCUUUCGCCUGUGACGAAGCGUGAGUGACGGUAAUGGGUAAAGAAGCACCGGCUAACUACGUGCCAGCAGCCGCGGUGAUACGUAGGGUGCGAGCGUUGUCCGGAUUUAUUGGGCGUAAAGGGCUCGUAGGUGGUUGAUCGCGUCGGAAGUGUAAUCUUGGGGCUUAACCCUGAGCGUGCUUUCGAUACGGGUUGACUUGAGGAAGGUAGGGGAGAAUGGAAUUCCUGGUGGAGCGGUGGAAUGCGCAGGUAUCAGGAGGAACACCAGUGGCGAAGGCGGUUCUCUGGGCCUUUCCUGACGCUGAGGAGCGAAAGCGUGGGGAGCGAACAGGCUUAGAUACCCUGGUAGUCCACGCUGUAAACGGUGGGUACUAGGUGUGGGGUCCAUUCCACGGGUUCCGUGCCGUAGCUAACGCUUUAAGUACCCCGCCUGGGGAGUACGGCCGCAAGGCUAAAACUCAAAGGAGUUGACGGGGCCCCGCACAAGCGGCGGAGCAUGCGGAUUAAUUCGAUGCAACGCGUAGAACCUUACCUGGGUUUGACAUGGAUCGGGAGCGCUCAGAGAUGGGUGUGCCUCUUUUGGGGUCGGUUCACAGGUGGUGCAUGGCUGUCGUCAGCUCGUGUCGUGAGAUGUUGGGUUAAGUCCCGCAACGAGCGCAACCCUUGUUCACUGUUGCCAGCACGUUAUGGUGGGGACUCAGUGGAGACCGCCGGGGUCAACUCGGAGGAAGGUGGGGAUGACGUCAAGUCAUCAUGCCCCUUAUGUCCAGGGCUUCACGCAUGCUACAAUGGCUGGUACAGAGAGUGGCGAGCCUGUGAGGGUGAGCGAAUCUCGGAAAGCCGGUCUCAGUUCGGAUUGGGGUCUGCAACUCGACCUCAUGAAGUCGGAGUCGCUAGUAAUCGCAGAUCAGCAACGCUGCGGUGAAUACGUUCCCGGG
rnacentral:rRNA from 1 species